UACGUAGGGGCAAGCGUUGUCCGGAUUUAUUGGGCGUAAAGAGCGUGUAGGCGGCUUUGCAAGUCCGUUGUGAAAACUCGAGCUCAACCUCGAGACGCCGGUGGAAACUGCAAAGCUAGAGUCCGGAAGAGGAGAGUGGAAUUCCUGGUGUAGCGGUGAAAUGCGCAGAUAUCAGGAAGAACACCCGUGGCGAAAGCGGCUCUCUGGGACGGUACUGACGCUGAGACGCGAAAGCGUGGGGAGCAAACAGG
rnacentral:rRNA from 1 species